GAUGAAGAACGUAGCGAAAUGCGAUAAGUAAUGCGAAUUGCAGAAUUCAGUGAGUCAUCGAAUCUUUGAACGCACAUUGCGCCCUGUGGUAUUCCGCAGGGCAUGCCUGUUCGAGCGUCAUUUCAACCCUCAAGCUCUGCUUGGUGUUGGGCCCUGCCCGCUGCGGCCGGCCCUAAAGACAGUGGCGGUGCCGCCUGGCCCUGAGCGUAGUACAUCUCUCGCUCCAGUGCCCGGUGGUAGCCUGCCAGAACCCCAACUCUCGUGGUUGACCUCGGAUCAGGUAGGGAUACCCGCUGAACUUAAGCAUAUCCAAUAAGCGGAGGA
rnacentral:misc_RNA from 1 species